rnacentral:rRNA from 1 species
CGGAUCCGCGCCGCUGCAGAGUUUGAUCCUGGCUCAGGAUGAACGCUAGCGGCAGGCUUAACACAUGCAAGUCGAGGGGCAGCGCGUCGGGUAGCAAUACCUGAUGGCGGCGACCGGCGCAAGGGUGCGUAACGCGUGAGCAACAUGCCCGUAUCAGGGGGAUAAGCGAUGGAAACGUCGUCUAAUACCGCAUAACAACAUGGAGGACAUCCUCCGUGUUUGAAAGAUUCGUCGGAUACGGAUUGGCUCGCGAGGCAUUAGCUAGACGGCGGGGUAACGGCCCACCGUGGCGACGAUGUCUAGGGGUUCUGAGAGGAAGGUCCCCCACACUGGAACUGAGACACGGUCCAGACUCCUACGGGAGGCAGCAGUGAGGAAUAUUGGACAAUGGUCGGAAGACUGAUCCAGCCAUGCCGCGUGAAGGCAGACGGUCCUAUGGAUUGUAAACUUCUUUUGUACGGGAGCAAUAAGGGUGUCGUGACGCCCGAUGAGAGUACCGUACGAAUAAGCAUCGGCUAACUCCGUGCCAGCAGCCGCGGUAAUACGGAGGAUGCGAGCGUUAUCCGGAUUUAUUGGGUUUAAAGGGUGCGUAGGCGGAAAGUUAAGUCAGCGGUGAAACGCAGGUGCUCAACACCUGACCUGCCGUUGAGACUGGUUUUCUGGAAUGCGGAUGCUGUGGGAGGAAUGUGUGGUGUAGCGGUGAAAUGCAUAGAUAUCACACAGAACACCGGUUGCGAAGGCAUCUCACAAAUCCGCGAUUGACGCUGAGGCACGAAGGUGCGGGGAUCGAACAGGGAUUAGAUACCCUGGUAGUCCGCACAGUAAACGAUGAUAACUCGCUGUCGGCGAUAGACAGUCGGUGGCCAAGCGAAAAGCGAUAAAGUUAUCCACCUGGGGGAGUACGACCGCAAGGGUUGAAAACUCAAAAGGAAUUGACGGGGGGCCCGCACAAGCGGGAGGAACAUGUGGUUUAAAUUCGAUGAUACGCGAGGGAACCUUACCCGGGCUCGAACGGCUGGUGA